rnacentral:lncRNA from 1 species
CUUAAAUUUUAAAAUACGUUGUAAAAAUUUUCUUGAGUCCUUCACUCCUUACAAUGUCAUUGUCAGUGGCUUCCGAGUACUUCUUUUUUUUUUUUUUUUUUUUUUUUUUUGAGACAGAGUCUUGCUCUGUCGCUGAGGCUGGAGUGCAGUGGUGGGAUCUCGGCUCACUGCAACCUCUUCCUCCUGGGUUCAAGCGAUUCUCCUGCGUCAGCCUCCCAAGUAGCUGGGAUUACAGGCGAGUGCCACCACACGCGGCUAAUUUUUGUAUUUUUCGUGGAGACAGGAUUUUGCCACGUUGGCUUGGCUGGUCUCGAACUCCUGACCUCAAGUGAUCUGCCCACCUCAGCCUCCCAAAGUGCUGGGAUUACAUGUGUGAGCCACUGUGCCAGCCCUGGCUUCUGAGUAUU